rnacentral:lncRNA from 1 species
UCUGAUUUUAUAUAAAGAACCUGACUGCAAUAUGCUAAUUUUAAGGACGUAGUCAAUUAAGUUCGUAAUAGUGUUCCCUCUUUAACAACUAAACCUUUUAGAUGAAAUUGUUCGCACAACUUAAUACGUAAUCAAAGCGUGUCCUUGGUUCUUUUUCUCAUUGCUGCCUGUCAAAAAAGUAUUUCUGACAUGCUUGGCCAUGAGAUCCUGGCAAACACUUAAAAAGGUACUUUAAAGACCUACGGCCACUGCAGGGUAUGGCGUAACAAUCACCGGAGUGGGGUAUAAAUUUUUGGGACCAGGGUUCAUAUACCAGAAGAGAGAAAAAUGCUAAGUGGUUUCUUCCCAUCUAUCUAAGCCUUGUUGGAUAGAGCUAUGCAGUAUCCGUGCUGAUGGGAAGUGACACGUAACCAGUGAAAUAGUCUAGGUGUGUGCACGCUAGUCUAGACACCACACCACCAUUAGAAAAAAGACACAAUUAGGUAGUAAAUUGUCAUUUCCCCUCUAUAACUGAUUGAGCAUUUAGGUUAGAGUGUUAAAAAAUGAGAAAAAUGUCUCAAAGAGAAAAGGGGGAAAAUAAAAGAGAACUUGUCAAAGAAUUUUCUAUCCUGGAUGGCCAAAAGAACUGGUCUUGAGAACUUUUUAAUUAGGUAGUGAAAAUUUAAGGUGUCAGGUAGGAUGCUUCCAACUAUGCAUCACCGAAUAUAUCUUCACUUUUUAUUUUAAGAUUUAAUAGUUGUGACUGGGAGAAGGAGAUCUGCUCAGGGUUCUUUCUUCUUUUAAUCAGGGAUGAAUACUUGUAUUCAAGAUGCUCAUAAUCUUGCUUGGAAAUUAGCUUCUGUAAUCAAGGGUUGUCAUUGAUUUGUAGAAGACUGCUUCCUAAAAUGUUGAUUUUAAGAUAAAAAUAGCAAUGUUAUUUCUGUGGAGGGAGAUAAAAGAUUUCCACACAGCACAAAAUACUGGAGCUAUAAUUAGCUUAAAUUAAGCUCAAGAGAGCAGUUGUUGGUCGGAGGAUGUCUGAACUGUAGUCAGUCUCUAAAUUAUGAUGUUAGGCCUCUGCAUUGCUCUGCAAUUAACACGAUUGAUAUUGUAUCUGAUUUUAUAUAAAGAACCUGACUGCAAUAUGCUAAUUUUAAGGACGUAGUCAAUUAAGUUCGUAAUAGUGUUCCCUCUUUAACAACUAAACCUUUUAGAUGAAAUUGUUCGCACAACUUAAUACGUAAUCAAAGCGUGUCCUUGGUUCUUUUUCUCAUUGCUGCCUGUCAAAAAAGUAUUUCUGACAUGCUUGGCCAUGAGAUCCUGGCAAACACUUAAAAAGGUACUUUAAAGACCUACGGCCACUGCAGGGUAUGACGUAACAAUCACCGGAGUGGGGUAUAAAUUUUUGGGACCAGGGUUCAUAUACCAG